UACGAAGGGGGCUAGCGUUGCUCGGAAUCACUGGGCGUAAAGGGCGCGUAGGCGGCCAUUUAAGUCGGGGGUGAAAGCCUGUGGCUCAACCACAGAAUUGCCUUCGAUACUGGAUGGCUUGAGACCGGAAGAGGUAAGUGGAACUGCGAGUGUAGAGGUGAAAUUCGUAGAUAUUGGGAAGAACACCGAUGGCGAAGGCAGCCAUCUGGACCGACACUGACGCUGAGGCGCGAAAGCGUGGGGAGCAAACAGG
rnacentral:rRNA from 1 species